CCAGACUCCUACGGGAGGCAGCAGUGAGGAAUAUUGGUCAAUGGCCGAGAGGUUGAACCAGCCAAGUCGCGUGAGGGAAGACGGCCCUACGGGUUGUAAACCUCUUUUGUCAGGGAACAAAGGCGGGGACGUGUCCCCGGAUGAGUGUACCUGAAGAAAAAGCAUCGGCUAACUCCGUGCCAGCAGCCGCGGUAAUACGGAGGAUGCGAGCGUUAUCCGGAUUUAUUGGGUUUAAAGGGUGCGCAGGCGGAAUGUCAAGUCAGCGGUAAAAUUUCGGGGCUCAACCCCGUCGUGCCGUUGAAACUGGCGUUCUUGAGUGAGCGAGAAGUAUGCGGAAUGCGUGGUGUAGCGGUGAAAUGCAUAGAUAUCACGCAGAACUCCGAUUGCGAAGGCAGCAUACCGGCGCUCAACUGACGCUCAUGCACGAAAGCGUGGGUAUCGAACAGGAUUAGAUACCCCCGUA
rnacentral:rRNA from 1 species